AAAACCCUUCUCCAUUUCUUGGCAGCGGCGGCGGCGACGAGAUGGACGCGGCGAAGGCGAAGGAGCUGAAGCUGUUUGUGGAGCAGUGCCGGAAGAACCCCGUCAUACUGAGCGACCCCUCCAUCUCCUUCUUCAGAGACUACCUCGAGAGCAUGGGCGCCAAGCUGCCCCCCGCCGCCUAUGGGUCCGGGGAGUCACCACGUGGCGGCGUUGAGGAAGUGGUGGAUGAAAGCGAUGAGAAUGUUUCCGAUGAGGAUUUCAGUGAUGUAGGUGUCAAGCCAACAGAGCAUGAAUCUGAUGAGGAAAUUAUUGAAUCUGACAUUGAGCUUGAAGGAGAGACUGUAGAACCUGACAAUGAACCUCCUCAAAAAAUGGGCGACCCCUCUGUUGAGGUAACUGAAGAAAG
rnacentral:misc_RNA from 1 species